rnacentral:misc_RNA from 1 species
GAUGAAGAACGCAGCGAAAUGCGAUAAGUAGUGUGAAUUGCAGAAUUCAGUGAAUCAUCGAAUCUUUGAACGCACAUUGCGCCCUUUGGUAUUCCAAAGGGCAUGCCUGUUCGAGCGUCAUUUGUACCCUCAAGCUUUGCUUGGUGUUGGGCGUCUUGUCUCUGGCUUUGCUGGAGACUCGCCUUAAAGUAAUUGGCAGCCGGCCUACUGGUUUCGGAGCGCAGCACAAGUCGCACUCUCUAUCAGCAAAGGUCUAGCAUCCAUUAAGCCUUUUUUUCAACUUUUGACCUCGGAUCAGGUAGGGAUACCCGCUGAACUUAAGCAUAUCAAUAAGCGGAGGA